CUUAUUUCAUGUGUUUUAUGUGUUUUUCAUACAAUUUAGUUUUCUUUUAUAGAUUUGCAUGCUUGGGAACUGGUUUGAUGAUAUUUUAUAGCAACUGGAUGAGAAUGGAGGCUAAAGGGAUCAAGGCUCAGGAAGUAGUAGUUAAAGGACCAUGAAAAUAGAAAUUGCCCUGCAGCACGAUCGCGCCCUAUUUGUACUAAGGUGCAACACGGACGCGCCAUCUUCCAGUCAAAUUAUCUCUGCCUAUGCAGCGCGGUUGCGCCAAGUGAAAGCUUAAAGACAGCACGACUGCGCCACUUCGAGUUUGACCAGGAGUUGACUUUUCAUUAAUCAGUGCAAUUGAGUUAGAAUGUACAUAGGAUUUCAUAGUAGAAUUAAGAUUUAUGUUAUAACUUAUAAAUAACAGUUUAUGUCAGUUUAUAUGGGUAUAUUUUACUUUUGAUUCAAAAAACCCUAGUUCUAAAUUAGAGUGGAGAUUGAAGCAAUUGGGGGAGCGUGAAGGAUUCAAGGUAGGAGGCAUUGGAGGGAGUCAAGAGUGCUG
rnacentral:lncRNA from 1 species